UGGGAGAAAACACUUUGAGUUAAAGCGUGAAUACGAAAUGCUACGGCAUUGAAGUGAUCUAUGCCAGGCUUCCAAGAAAAUCUCGUCAUAUCUUAAGCAGUAGAUGCCUGUACCUUAAACCGACACAGGUAGGUAGGUAGAGUAUACCAAGGGGCGCGAGAUAACUCUCUCUAAGGAACUCGGCAAAAUAACCUCGUAACUUCGGAAGAAGAGGUACCCUUGAAAAAGGGUUGCAAUAACCAGACCCUGGCGACUGUUUACCAAAAACACAGGUCUCCGCUAAUUCGUAAGAUCAAGUAUGGAGGCUGACGCCUGCCCAGUGCCGGAAGGUUAAAGAAGUUGGUCAAUCUUUGGAUGAAGCUGGCGACUGAAGCCCCGGUGAACGGCGGCCGUAACAAUAACGGUCCUAAGGUAGCGAAGUUCCUUGUCGGGUAAGUUCCGACCCGCACGAAAGGCGUAACGAUCAGGGUGCUGUCUCGGAGAGAGACUCGGCGAAAUAGACAUGUCUGUGAAGAUGCGGACUACCUGCACCUAGACAGAAAGACCCUAUGAAGCUUUACUGUAUCUUGGAAUUGGGUUUGGGCCUUGCUUGCGCAGGAUAGGUGGGAGGCUGUGAAGAUAUUCUUGCGGGAAUGUUGGAGCCAACGGUGAGAUACCACUCUAGUAAGGCUAAAAUUCUAACUCUGAACCGUUAUCCGGUCAGAGAACAGUUUCAGGUGGGCAGUUUGACUGGGGCGGUCGCCUCCUAAAAGGUAACGGAGGCGCGCAAAGGUUCCCUCAGGCUGGUUGGACAUCAGUCGUAGAGUGUAAAGGCAUAAGGGAGCUUGACUGCGAGACCCACAAGUCGAGCAGAGACGAAAGUCGGCCUUAGUGAUCCGACGGUUCCACGUGGAAGGGCCGUCGCUCAACGGAUAAAAGUUACUCUAAGGAUAACAGGCUGAUCUCCCCCAAGAGUUCACAUCGACGGGGAGGUUUGGCACCUCGAUGUCGGCUCAUCGCAUCCAGGGGCGGUAGUACGUCCCAAGGGUUGGGCUGUUCUCCCAUGAAAGCGGUACGCGAGCUGGGUUCAGUACGUCGUGAGACAGUUCGGUCCAUAUCCGGUGCAGGCGUUAGAGCAUUGAGAGGAGUCCCCCUUAGUACGAGAGGACCGGGGGGAAUACACCGCUGGUGUACCAGUUAUCGUGCCAACGGUAAACGCUGGGUAGCCAUGUGUAGCGCGGAUAACUGCUGAAAGCAUCUAAGUAGGAAGCCCACCUUAAGAUGAGUGCUCUCACCGCUAUAAGCGGGUAAGGUCACGGUAAGAACAACCGUUAUAUAGGCAUUAAGUAUACGUGCAGUAAUGCAUUUAGCUGAGAUGUACUAACAGACCGAGGGCUUC
rnacentral:rRNA from 1 species